CAGAGUCUGACUCGGGGCUCGAUCCCAUGAACUGUGAGAUCGUGACCUGGAACUGGAUCAAGAGUCGGACGCUUAACCGACUGAGCCACCCAGGGGCCCAGGGGAAAGCAUUUUCAAAGGAUAUCCACCCACAGUCUCUUUGAAGUCUGGAAUCCAGGUUAUCACCACCCCCCCACCCCAGGUAAAACUGUUAUUUGUCACAGGAAUAUCGCUACUAUAUACCUACUUCCGUCGCGUUGGUACUGAUGGCUCACUUUGAUUGAAUGGCUGCUCCCCCACAGACUCUAGUACACGGUCUGGACCUGCACGGACUCAUCCGAUUCCAAUGGUAUCCUUCAGUGCAGGUUGAUAGCAUUUUCCCCGCUUUACGGUCGAGGAUGUAGACGCUUUAGGGAGGCUAUGAUUUCCCGGGUGAAACGCGUAUAUGUAAAUUGCCUCUACGUCUGUCUGACUAUAUUGCUGUCAGCCUUAGGAGGCAGGUUGGCAUGGCCUGAAAUCCUUGGGGGAUUCGGAAAUCCUGGAGUGAGGAUGGAGACCACCGCUCUCGCCCGGCAGGUGCCACACAGGGAAAACAGCGGGCGGGCCUCCUUUACACAGGACUAGCAUUCUCCUGGGACUCUGCCUGCGCCCCUGAAAGGACGCCCUUGAAGCUCCCACAGAUGUCUCAAGUUCACACUUCAAAAUGCAAAUUCCCGGACCCCCGACACACUCCACACCUGCUCCUCUGACAUCCUUCUCGCUGCUCAGUCCAAACACCCAGCUGCUUCCCUUAACUCCUCUUGGACCCUCCACAUCCACCCUCUCUGGGCUGAAGCCCACGGAAGUCCUGAGCGCUUGGUGGCCGUGGCAUGAAGGACCCAGCUCCCAGAGGAGUCUAGAAUUUGUCUUGCUGCCGUGGAUCCAGUUAUGCACAUGUAACUGCUGAUGUUUUCUGGCCCCUCCUAUCCCUCCUCCUGAUAAAUUCCCUGGGUUUGUACCAUGGGCUGCCUGCCUCUGCUUCCCUGCUGGACAUUCAGUCCUCCCGAGAGUGAGAUUCUCCAAAGCUUAACUUGCCUGGCAAGUCCUCGACUCCCACCCCCUCACCCGCAGCCCGAUUUCUUGUGCACCUGCUGCUAAGUAAGAUGCUUCUGUGAGAGGUCAGAUGGCUUGAAGUCUGGCCCCGAUUUCCUCCUGACUCUGAGUUCUACAUCCUGCCUACACUCUUGGUUUAAAUCAGCAUUACUUCCUGCCGCAUCGGAUCGUCCCUGUCACUGAUACAUCGUAAGCCAAACUCUCUUUUGCUCAGGGGGGCAAUUGCACAGAAAUCGAAAUAGAGCGAGGGAGCAAGCUGUGCAGACGUUCCCGGCGAAGAGAGGUAAAUGGUUUAGGCAAAGAAAAGAAUGGCUAAUGUUAGAAUUUGAAGAGGGGUAGAUACUGGGGCGGACGGCAUCCUUUCACAUUACAGUCAACAGCACCAACGUUUUCGUUUGUUUUGUUUGGUGCUUUUGUUUUUGCUUUUUUUAUACAGGGAAUCAUUUUAUACUUUUUGCACACCCAAAAAAGGUAGAUAUCAAUAGAAAGAGCACGAGGCCUGCCUUCGGAAGCCUUCGACUUUAUACCUUCCUACUUCCCCUUACUAUCUGUGUGGCCUCGGGUGUGUCACUGCACUUGAGACACCGAAUUCUACCUGUAGCAACGGGGAGAUGAUAACAAAUGAAACUGCUGUGUGUCAGGCACACCCCGCCGAAUGCUUACGCCCCCCGUCUUCCAAGCAACCCUGAAGGAUGGAACUACUAUCCCCAUGUCAGAGGUGGGCGGGUCGUUUUCCUCUGCGUCGGCCAGGCCCAGUGAAAGUGCUUUGUGAAUGGUAAGCCACCUGCCAGAGGUCAGUCACACGCGAGGCCAGGUUGGUUCCCCGCUUCCCAGACCAGCGCGUGCGCUCCUGAAAUCACGACGCUGCCAGAGAGAUCCGAAUGCGCUUUCUUUGGGCGUGAAUGUUACCGUUUGACAAGUAUUUAAAAAACAGUUUUUAAGGAGGCAGAUCUUCUGGAGUACAAUGCAAAUUGUAUAUGUACAAGAUGAAAACAAAACUUUGGAGAGACAGCGGGGCCUUUGUCUCCUUAUACAGUAUAUAAGAUGUCUCAGAAUGUGAUUGCUAUUAUGUAAGAGGCUUCUAUGAAGAUGAAAUUCUUAAGGAGAAGGGGGAAACAAACAAAAAACAAG